rnacentral:lncRNA from 1 species
GUAACAAAGGGGUGCCACAUAAUCUCCAAGGGAUGCCAACUUUUGACCCCCAACUUCUCCACACGGUAAAAAUGAAUUACCACAUUAAAAUGGCAUGUGAGGAAGUCUAGGAGUAGAAGGACUCUUCCUUCUCUGGUCCCAUAAAAUUGGCAUGUAAUAAUUAAGAGGCUUUAGGGAGAAAAUAAAUAUUUUGGCGCAAACACAUCCAAUGUGUCAUCCCUUAGUUUCCACAAGGAAUAAAUUCCUUAUAUAGAAGUUUUAGGUGUGGAAGAGCCUUCAAGCAGAAGGACUCCUCCACUUCUGCACCAACAUAUCUCUAGGAGCCAUCAUAUGGUGCAUGGAGUAAAAGAAACAUGUGGAAUAAAGGGAGGAAUUAAGAGUCCAAUGUGAAAUGGACUCUUCCAUUUCAUCGCCCAAAAAUAAGGUGGCAUCCAAAUUAAUUUGG